rnacentral:rRNA from 1 species
AUCGGCCCAUUCAGACCUGCCCUUCCAAUCGGGGUUAUAUAACAGGUCGUGGCCAGCAUCCAGUGGACCAACUAGGCCGAACUUUCCAGCUUCUAGGGCUACCUUCUUCCCUUCAUCUCCACUCCCGCACACACGCCGGCCACCACUAGGGUUUUGCCGAUCCGCCUUACCCCACGCCGGCCACCACUAGGGUUUUGCCGAUCCGCCUCACCCCACGCCGGCCACCACCAGAUCGCCUCCGCCCUACGCUCUCACCGCUGCCGACGAUGGUGGGAUACGGGAUUCAGUCGAUGCUCAAGGAUGGGCACAAGCAUCUCUCGGGCCUCGACGAGGCCGUCCUGAAGAACAUCGGCGCCGGCCGCGAGCUCUCCGCCAUCACCCGAACCUCCCUUGGCCCGAACGGGAUGAAUAAGAUGGUCAUUAAUCAUCUAGACAAGCUCUUUAUCACGAAUGAUGCUGCAACAAUCGUGAACGAGCUUGAGGUCCAGCACCCUGCUGCUAAGCUCCUGGUGCUCGCUGCCAGAGCGCAACAGGAGGAGAUCGGAGAUGGAGCUAACCUCACCAUAUCUUUCGCCGGUGAACUGCUCGAGAAGGCUGAGGAGCUCAUCAGGAUGGGACUGCAUCCAAGCGAGAUCAUCAUUGGGUACACCAAGGCCAUUAAUAAGACGCUUGAGAUUUUGGAUGAUCUAGUUGAGAAAGGCUCGGAAAAUAUGGAUGUCAGGAACAGGGAGGAGGUCGUGUUGAGGAUGAAAUCUGCUGUUGCAAGCAAGCAAUUUGGCCAGGAGGAUGUGCUGUGUCCACUUGUCGCUGAUGCCUGUAUCCAAGUUUGCCCCCAAAAUCCGGGAAACUUUAAUGUUGACAAUGUUAGAGUGGCAAAGCUGGUUGGAGGCGGCCUUCACAAUUCUUCUGUAGUCCGUGGGAUGGUUCUGAAAAAUGACGCUGUUGGGAGCAUAAAGAAAGUGGAGAAAGUGAAGGUUGCGGUAUUUGCUGGCGGUGUUGACACUUCUGCAACUGAAACGAAGGGAACUGUUCUUAUACAUUCUGCUGAGCAGCUUGAAAACUAUGCUAAAACUGAGGAAGCAAAGGUGGAGGAGCUUAUUAAAUCUGUGGCUGAUUCAGGUGCCAAGGUUAUUGUCAGUGGAGCAGCAGUUGGCGAUAUGGCAUUGCAUUUUUGUGAACGUUACAAGCUAAUGGUUCUGAAAGUCAGCUCAAAGUUUGAGCUUCGAAGAUUUUGCCGUACUACCGGGGCUAUAGCACUUUUGAAGCUUAGCCGACCAAAUGUGGACGAAUUAGGAUAUGCAGACUAUGUUUCGGUGGAAGAAAUUGGCGGUGCUCGAGUGACUGUUGUCAAAAAUGAAGAAGGUGGAAAUUCAGUGGCUACUGUUGUCUUGAGAGGCAGUACAGAUAGUAUAUUAGAUGAUCUUGAAAGAGCUGUCGAUGAUGGUGUAAACACGUACAAGUCAAUGUGCAGGGACAGUCGGAUUAUCCCUGGAGCUGCUGCAACAGAAAUAGAACUGGCAAAGAGAUUGAAGGAGUUUUCUCUGAAGGAAACAGGGUUGGAUCAAUAUGCUAUUGCAAAAUUUGGUGAAAGUUUUGAAAUGGUUCCAAUAACACUGUCUGAAAAUGCCGGACUUGGUGCAAUGGAGAUAAUAUCUUCCCUCUAUGCUGAGCAUGCUGCUGGCAAUGUGAAAGUUGGCAUUGACUUGGAGAAAGGUGCUUGCGAGGAUGCCUCAAUCAUGAAAAUAUGGGACCUCUAUGUUACAAAGUCCUUCGCUCUAAAAUACUCAGCAGAUGCUGUAUGUACUGUUUUACGGGUUGACCAGAUCAUUAUGGCAAAGCCAGCAGGAGGGCCGCGACCCCCCCAACAAGGUGGCAUGGAUGAAGACUAGUUUUCUGUGCACUCUUGUUUCCUGUGUAUCAUGCCGUGGGAUUUUCGUGCAGAAGACGGUCUCUGUUUCAUCUUAUCUAGGUUCGAUUCAAGUAAUAGAUUUUGGCUGCUUGGGUUUCACGGUUGGUGGGGCAGCAUGCUUUAGCUGAUGUCUUGCGGUGUAUUUGUUAGUUCCUCUGUGGUACUGUCUUACCGGUGUAUCACAUGAUAACUAGAGAGACUUGUUCGUCCAGUUUAUCAUAUGAACCAAAGCUUGUCUUGGAAGAUUUUGUUUGUAAAAUUCUAAGAUAGCUGUUUGUUUGACUUUGUCUGGAAGGAUGACAUUUUGCAGAGUGUUGCUGAACAACGUGUUUGCCCGUCGCAGUCUGUUCAUGUGAGCAUGUAUUUUUUUAGGUGCCGAUGACUAACUUAAAGUGCUGUUGCUUCUAGGUGAUAUAUAAAAUUGCUGCGGUAAACUGACAUGAACUAGCCAGGACGGUUGGUAUUCCUCAGAAAUGAAACGCAAGAACAGCACAGUGACAGGUCGAGUUACUCAGAUUGACCUGGGGUUCGGCCGUGUGGGUAUUGUUGUUAGGGUUAUAUUUAUGAUGUCUUUUGGCUUUCUGUAUUUUGGUCUUUGGCCUCCUCAGUACUUGUAUAUAUUGUGGCUUUGGCCUUGAGAUAUAUUGUGGCUUUGGCCUUGAGAUAAUACUAUGUUGUAUAUUU